CCUACGGGAGGCAGCAGUGAGGAAUAUUGGUCAAUGGACGAGAGUCUGAACCAGCCAAGUCGCGUGAAGGAUGACUGCCCUAUGGGUUGUAAACUUCUUUUAUAUGGGAAUAAAAUGUUCCACGUGUGGGAUUUUGUAUGUACCAUAUGAAUAAGGAUCGGCUAACUCCGUGCCAGCAGCCGCGGUAAUACGGAGGAUCCGAGCGUUAUCCGGAUUUAUUGGGUUUAAAGGGAGCGUAGGUGGAUUGUUAAGUCAGUUGUGAAAGUUUGCGGCUCAACCGUAAAAUUGCAGUUGAAACUGGCAGUCUUGAGUACAGUAGAGGUGUGCGGAAUGCGUGGUGUAGCGGUGAAAUGCUUAGAUAUCACGAAGAACUCCGAUUGCGAAGGCAGUUCACUGGACUGCAACUGACACUGAGGCACGAAAGUGUGGGUAUCAAACAGGAUUAGAUACCCUAGUAGUC
rnacentral:rRNA from 1 species